rfam:Dipodomys ordii contig_51692, whole genome shotgun sequence.
UGGCUCAGUGGUAGAGUGCUUGCCUUGCAUGCAUGAAGCCCUGGGUUCAAUUCCUCAG